GGUCACGCAAUUACCCACUCCCGGCACGGGGAGGUAGUGACGAAAAAUAACGAUACGGGACUCAUCCGAGGCCCCGUAAUCGGAAUGAGUACACUUUAAAUCCUUUAACGAGGAUCAAUUGGAGGGCAAGUCUGGUGCCAGCAGCCGCGGUAAUUCCAGCUCCAAUAGCGUAUAUUAAAGUUGUUGCGGUUAAAAAGCUCGUAGUCGAAUUUGUGUCUCAUGCCGCUGGUUCAUCGUUCGCGGUGUAAACUGGCGUGACAUGGGACGUCCUGCCGGUGGGCUUAGCUCUUUACGGGGCGGCCCUAUACAAUCCUGCCGCGUUGCUCUUGAUUGAGUGUCGAGGUGGGCCGGCUCAUUUACUUUGAACAAAUUAAAGUGCUUAAAGCAGGCUAAAAUUUUGCCUGAAUAUGUGUGCAUGGAAUAAUGGAAUAGGACCUCGGUUCUAUUUUGUUGGUUUUAAGAACCCCGAGGUAAUGAUUAAUAGGAACGGAUGGGGGCAUUCGUAUUGCGACGUUAGAGGUGAAAUUCUUGGAUCGUCGCAAGACGAACAUAAGCGAAAGCAUUUGCCAAAAACGUUUUCAUUGAUCAAGAACGAAAGUUAGAGGUUCGAAGGCGAUCAGAUACCGCCCUAGUUCUAACCAUAAACGAUGCCAGCCAGCGAUCCGCCGACGUUCCUCCGAUGACUCGGCGGGCAGCUUCCGGGAAACCAAAGCUUUUGGGU
rnacentral:rRNA from 1 species